rnacentral:rRNA from 1 species
UCUUCCCUCUGGCUUCGUGCUUAACACAUGCAAGUCGAACGGAAAGGCUCCUGCUUGCAGGGGUACUCGAGUGGCGAACGGGUGAGUAACACGUGGGUGAUCUGCCCUGCACUUCGGGAUAAGCCUGGGAAACUGGGUCUAAUACCGGAUAGGACGAUGGUUUGGAUGCCAUUGUGGAAAGUUUUUUCGGUGUGGGAUGAGCUCGCGGCCUAUCAGCUUGUUGGUGGGGUAAUGGCCUACCAAGGCGUCGACGGGUAGCCGGCCUGAGAGGGUGUACGGCCACAUUGGGACUGAGAUACGGCCCAGACUCCUACGGGAGGCAGCAGUGGGGAAUAUUGCACAAUGGGCGCAAGCCUGAUGCAGCGACGCCGCGUGGGGGAUGACGGCCUUCGGGUUGUAAACUCCUUUCGCUAGGGACGAAGCGCAAGUGACGGUACCUGGAGAAGAAGCACCGGCUAACUACGUG